AGUGAACGCUGGCGGUAGGCCUAACACAUGCAAGUCGAACGGCAGCACAGUAAGAGCUUGCUCUUACGGGUGGCGAGUGGCGGACGGGUGAGGAAUACAUCGGAAUCUACUUUUUCGUGGGGGAUAACGUAGGUAAACUUACGCUAAUACCGCAUACGACCUACGGGUGAAAGCAGGGGAUCUUCGGACCUUGCGCGAUUGAAUGAGCCGAUGUCGGAUUAGCUAGUUGGCGGGGUAAAGGCCCACCAAGGCGACGAUCCGUAGCUGGUCUGAGAGGAUGAUCAGCCACACUGGAACUGAGACACGGUCAAGACUCCUACGGGAGGCAGCAGUGGGGAAUAUUGGACAAUGGGCGCAAGCCUGAUCCAGCCAUACCGCGUGGGUGAAGAAGGCCUUCGGGUUGUAAAGCCCUUUUGUUGGGAAAGAAAAGCAGCAGGUUAAUACCCAGCUGUUCUGACGGUACCCAAAGAAUAAGCACCGGCUAACUUCGUG
rnacentral:rRNA from 1 species